rnacentral:rRNA from 1 species
AGUGAACGCUGGCGGUAGGCCUAACACAUGCAAGUCGAACGGCAGCACAGUAAGAGCUUGCUCUUACGGGUGGCGAGUGGCGGACGGGUGAGGAAUACAUCGGAAUCUACUUUUUCGUGGGGGAUAACGUAGGGAAACUUACGCUAAUACCGCAUACGACCUACGGGUGAAAGCAGGGGAUCUUCGGACCUUGCGCGAUUGAAUGAGCCGAUGUCGGAUUAGCUAGUUGGCGGGGUAAAGGCCCACCAAGGCGACGAUCCGUAGCUGGUCUGAGAGGAUGAUCAGCCACACUGGAACUGAGACACGGUCCAGACUCCUACGGGAGGCAGCAGUGGGGAAUAUUGGACAAUGGGCGCAAGCCUGAUCCAGCCAUACCUCGUGGGUGAAGAAGGCCUUCGGGUUGUAAAGCCCUUUUGUUGGGAAAGAAAAGCAGCAGGUUAAUACCCCGCUGUUCUGGCGGUACCCAAAGAAUAAGCACCGGCUAACUUCGUG